CCAAGUAACGGGCGGGAUAUGCAUCGCGGUCGAUCGCGUUGGCCCAAUUGAUUGAUGGUGCUUGCACCUGAUUGAUUUUGGUCGCCAACGAGUGGCGGACGGGUGAGUAACACGUAGGUAACCUGCCCAGAAGCGGGGGACAACAUUUGGAAACAGAUGCUAAUACCGCAUAACAACGUUGUUCGCAUGAACAACGCUUAAAAGAUGGCUUCUCGCUAUCACUUCUGGAUGGACCUGCGGUGCAUUAGCUUGUUGGUGGGGUAACGGCCUACCAAGGCGAUGAUGCAUAGCCGAGUUGAGAGACUGAUCGGCCACAAUGGGACUGAGACACGGCCCAUACUCCUACGGGAGGCAGCAGUAGGGAAUCUUCCACAAUGGGCGCAAGCCUGAUGGAGCAACACCGCGUGAGUGAAGAAGGGUUUCGGCUCGUAAAGCUCUGUUGUUAAAGAAGAACACGUAUGAGAGUAACUGUUCAUACGUUGACGGUAUUUAACCAGAAAGUCACGGCUAACUACGUGCCAGCAGCCGCGGUAAUACGUAGGUGGCAAGCGUUAUCCGGAUUUAUUGGGCGUAAAGAGAGUGCAGGCGGUUUUCUAAGUCUGAUGUGAAAGCCUUCGGCUUAACCGGAGAAGUGCAUCGGAAACUGGAUAACUUGAGUGCAGAAGAGGGUAGUGGAACUCCAUGUGUAGCGGUGGAAUGCGUAGAUAUAUGGAAGAACACCAGUGGCGAAAGGCGGCUACCUGGUCUGCAACUGACGCUGAGACUCGAAAGCAUGGGUAGCGAACAGGGAUUAGAUACCCUGGUAGUCCAUGCCCGUAAACGAUGAGUGCUAGUGUGGAGGGUUUCCGCCCUUCAGUGCCGGAGCUAACGCAUAGCACCUCCGGCCUGGGGGAGUACGACCGCCAAGGUUUGAAACCUCAAAGGAAAUUG
rnacentral:rRNA from 2 species